UUACAUUAAGAAGUCAAGAUUCAUGGACUUUGGAGACUCUGAAAAUGAACUGUUCUCCAGGACCAGUGAUUGUACUAUUCUUAAUGAUUGGAAGAGUCAAUGGAGACUCAGUGACCCAGACAGAAGGCCAAGUGACCCUCUUUGAACGAGCUUCCCUAACAGUGAAUUGUUCUUAUGAAACCAAACAGUAUCUGAACUUAUUCUGGUACGUCCAGUACCUUGGAGAAGGUCCACAGCUACUCCUAAAAGCCAUGAAAGCCAAUGAUCAGGGAAGAAACAAAGGGUUUGAAGCUACAUAUGAUAAAGCAACCAGCUCCUUCCACUUGGAGAAAGCCUCAGUGCAAGAGUCAGACUCGGCCGUGUACUACUGUGCUCUGGGUGACACAGUGGCAGGGACUGCAGGGGGAGCUGAGCACAAACUCUGA